rnacentral:rRNA from 1 species
UACAGGGGGUGCAAACGUUGCUCGGAAUUAUUGGGCGUAAAGCGCGCGUAGGCGGCCACUUAAGUCGGAUGUGAAAGCCCCUGGCUCAACUGGGGAAGUGCACCCGAAACUGAAUGGCUUGAAUGCAAAAGAGGGUCGCGGAAUUCCCGGUGUAGAGGUGAAAUUCGUAGAUAUCGGGAGGAACACCGGUGGCGAAGGCGGCGACCUGGGUUGACACUGACGCUGAGGCGCGAAAGCUAGGGGAGCGAACGGG